rnacentral:rRNA from 1 species
AUUGAACGCUGGCGGCAGGCCUAACACAUGCAAGUCGAGCGAGCGGCGGACGGGUGAGUAAUGUCUGGGAAACUGCCUGAUGGAGGGGGAUAACUACUGGAAACGGUAGCUAAUACCGCAUACCAUAAGAUGUGCCCAGAUGGAAUUAGCUAGUAGGUGGGGUAAUGGCUCACCUAGGCGACGAUCCCUAGCUGGUCUGAGCGGAUGACCAGCCACACUGGGACUGAGACACAGUCCAGAAUCCUACGGGAGGAAGCAGUGGGGAAUAAUACACAAUGGGCGAAAGCCUGAAGCAGCCAUGCCGAUUGUGUGAAGAAGGCCGUCGGGUUGUAAAGAACUUUCAGCGGGGAGACGUUACCCACAGAAGAAGCACCGGCUAACUCCGUGCCAGCAGCCGCGGUAAUAC